ensembl:lncRNA
CCCAGAGGUUUGGAGUUUGACCGCCAUGAAAGACUGUCCUACUCGUGGAAAGAAUGGAUCUCUCAGUGGAACAGUUAUUAAACUGGCCCUGGGGUAAGCGAGAGCCAUGACCUCUAUGACCUGUUUGGCUCAUGCAUGUUACCAGAAGAAAGUGUCAGGUCCAUCUGUGUUUCUCGCUCUUCCUCUGUGCUACACGCUGAAGAACAGGAUCCUACACGCAGAUCUCAUCAGUACCCCGCUGUGUCUGGGCUGAAUAAGGUCAAGAUACAGGUGACUGUAGUCUUCAUGCAUCAUGCCAGAAGGCCAGUGAGGCAGAGGAAGAGUGUUUCGUCUGCUGUCUGUCUCCUCUCCUGUCGUGCUGUAAUUGCAGAAAGCUGCCUGCCAUCAGUGGCUGCAUGCAGGAACCAACUGCUGUCCUCAGUGACACUGGCUGCUGCACUGAAGCACAGUCUCAUCUGAAAUUUAAGGAAAAAAGCAGCAAUUACAUUUUUCAAUACAUAAUAUUCAUAAUAUUAAUAAUUUAAUAAGUGACAUAAGUAUCUGACAGUGUUUGAAUAAAAAAAAAACAUUGGUGCAAAGAGUUGUUAGAGACAUUCUUAGAGAUAGUCUGUUGUAACACAUUGUUCAUGUUUUCUUUUGCCUGUUGUCUUUUGUAAAUACAGUAAAAAUACACAUUUUGAGUUUGAUUAUUUUAAACUGUUUUCACAGCUGCCACUGCAGCACAAACAUUAGACCUCCAGUCAUUCCCUGUUGGAUAUGAGUCCCGUGAAGAAAGAAGCGCAUGUGCUUGUUUCUUAAUGGAUUUGUUUGUGCAUCCUUGCGUUGCAAUUUUUCCUUAAAAAAAAAAAGAACAGUUCACCCAAAAAUGAAAAUGAAAUAUUUACUCUAAAUAUUUAUUCACACUCAUGUCAUUCUAAACUUUUAUCAAAUUUAAAUCUUCUAUUGUACACACAAGUUGAAAUUUUGUUCUUUGAAAGAACAAAAGUCAUAGAAGUUUGCAAUGACAUGAGGCUGAGUAAAUGAUGACAGAAUUUUCAUUUUGGAGGUGAACUAUUCCUUUAAACAUUCUCUUUAUUGAAGAAAAUAUUAAGAGCCUCUGUUCUGUAAGAUGACAAACAUAAACUGAUGGGUGCACAUUUUUAUGUUGCUGUGUCAUUCCAUGUGUCAUUUAUGAUAUAUGAAAAUGCUCCUCAGUGUGGUAUAGAAGCAUGUGAAGAGACAGAAUUGUUUACUUGGCAGGCACACAGUCUCUUUCAUUGGGAGGCACUGCAGCAGGGAAAGCAAUGAUGUAAUGCCCAUGGGUGGGGGGUGUCACCCCGUUCUUCUCUGUCUGGCAGGGGCAGAAAAGACAGACAGGGAAGGCAUAAUUGAGCCAAACUCAUCUGUCACCAGGAUAGAUAGUCUAAGAGACUCAAUUUCAGGUAUUUGUCAUUUUUGACGAUGUGUUUCAUUUUGCAUAAUAAAAGAAAAGUCUAAUUUGUUGUUAAAUUUGUUGUUAAAUUCAUGAAUAUGAGACACAGGAUGAGAAUUUUUCUCUCAUACCACAUUAAAAUCCUUACUGAGAUGAUCACCACUAAAAAUGUUAAAGGUAAAACAAAAAUUUAAAAUAAAUUUUGAUAAACUGUACUUUGUCUCUCUGUCCAUUUAACUCAUGUUUAAACAGUAUUUUGUGGGGAAAGCUGCCACUUAAAACAAUCCCACAUUCUCAUGAUUUAUCAGGAAAUCUACACAGAAUUGUGAUAGUUAUUAUACCUCGCGUGUUAGCAAAUAAUUAUUCUUUAAUAGAAGAAAGCUGUCUUGACAUCUUGACA